CUCGGUUGCUGGCUAAGGCGGCUGUGCUUUUCCUCUGCACCCUCCUGAAUCUCUCAGUUCUCCCGGCCUGCCCGGCACAGAGCUCUACCACAGAACCAGACAUGGAAUCAGUACUUCAUGAAAGAUCAUUGAGUAAAUCCCUGAAUGGACAAACUCAAAAGAGACAACUGAUGUGCCAAAAGUUUGUAAACUAUAAAAUGCUGGUGCCUGUGAAAGGCAACAACCGCCUUUA